GAUUAACGCGAAGAACCUUACCUGGGCUCGAACGGCCUCUCAACGGCGCUGGAAACAGUGCUAUCCCGCAAGGGAGUGGGGUCGAGGUGCUGCAUGGCUGUCGUCAGCUCGUGUCGUGAGAUGUUGGGUUAAGUCCCACAACGAGCGCAACCCUUGUCCUGUGUUGCUAAUCCGCAAGGAUGCACUCUCAGGAGACCGCCAGCGAUAAGUUGGAGGAAGGUGGGGAUGACGUCAAGUCAUCAUGGCCUUUAUGUCCAGGGCCACACACGUGCUACAAUGGGCGGUACAAACCGACGCCAACCCGCGAGGGGGAGCAAAUCGGAAAAAACCGUUCUCAGUUCGGAUCGCAGGCUGCAACCCGCCUGCGUGAAGCUGGAAUCGCUAGUAAUGGCGCAUCAGCACGGCGCCGUGAAUACGUUCCCGGGCCUUGUACACACCGAAUCACUAGU
rnacentral:rRNA from 1 species